ACGAACGCUGGCGGCGUGCUUAACACCUGCAAGUCGAACGGGUCUGCCCUGUUUUUUGCGGGGUGGGUCAGUGGCGAACGGGUGAGUAACACGUGAGUAACCUGCCCCUCACUUCUGGAUAACCGCUUGAAAGGGUGGCUAAUACGGGGUGUUCUGGCUGUGCCGCAUGGUGUGGCUGGGAAAGAUUCACUUUUGUGGUGUUUUGGUGGGGGAUGGGCUCGCGGCCUAUCAGCUUGUUGGUGGGGUGAUGGCCUGCCAAGGCUUUGACGGGUAGCCGGCCUGAGAGGGUGGGCGGUCACACGGGGACUGAGAUACGGCCCAGACUCCUGCGGGAGGCAGCAGUGGGGGGUAUUGCACAAUGGGCGGAAGCCUGAUGCAGCGACGUCGCGUGAGGGAUGGAGGCCUUCGGGUUGUGAACCUCUUUCGCCGGUGAAGAAGGUCCUGCUCUUUGUGGUGGGGUUGACGGUAGCCGGGUUAUGAAGCGCCGGCUAACUACGUG
rnacentral:rRNA from 1 species